CUUUCUCUCAUUGCUCGUCGAUCUUUUUUGCAAAAUCCAACACCUUCAUCCAGAAUCCAUGGUUGUCGCCAUCAACCUAAUGUAAUCUAUAGAUAUUGGUUUUUUGUGGUGAUUGGUGAAAUAUUCGAUUGUGGUAGGCUAAUAGAGCAAGGAAAAUGAAAUUCAUGGAGAUGACCUGGAGGUUAUGAAGAGGUUGUAAUUGAUGCGGAAAAGGAAGAAAAUAUUGAGAACAAUAGCGUAUUCUAGCAUAAUGUAUUCUAUCAAAAUGUAUAAAAUGAUUAUCUUCUCUUAUUUGAUUCGAC